rnacentral:rRNA from 1 species
UACAGAGGGGGCAAGCGUUGUUCGGAAUUACUGGGCGUAAAGGGCGCGUAGGCGGCCUGUUAAGUCGAACGUGAAAUCCCUGGGCUCAACCCAGGAACUGCGUCCGAUACUGGCAGGCUUGAAUUCGGGAGAGGGAUGCGGAAUUCCAGGUGUAGCGGUGAAAUGCGUAGAUAUCUGGAGGAACACCGGUGGCGAAGGCGGCAUCCUGGACCGAUAUUGACGCUGAUGAGCGAAAGCUAGGGGAGCAAACGGG